rnacentral:rRNA from 1 species
GACGAACGCUGGCGGCGUGCUUAACACAUGCAAGUCGAACGAUGAUGCCCAGCUUGCUGGGUGGAUUAGUGGCGAACGGGUGAGUAACACGUGAGUAACCUGCCCCUGACUCUGGGAUAAACGUUGGAAACGACGUCUAAUACUGGAUAUGAUCACUGGCCGCAUGGUCUGGUGGUGGAAAGAUUUUUUGGUUGGGGAUGGACUCGCGGCCUAUCAGCUUGUUGGUGAGGUAAUGGCUCACCAAGGCGACGACGGGUAGCCGGCCUGAGAGGGUGACCGGCCACACUGGGACUGAGACACGGCCCAGACUCCUACGGGAGGCAGCAGUGGGGAAUAUUGCACAAUGGGCGAAAGCCUGAUGCAGCAACGCCGCGUGAGGGAUGACGGCCUUCGGGUUGUAAACCUCUUUUAGUAGGGAAGAAGCGAAAGUGACGGUACCUGCAGAAAAAGCACCGGCUAACUACGUGCCAGCAGCCGCCGUAA